AGGCACCAACUCUGUGCCAGCAUGCGUUUAUGGAGAUUUCCUUUUGGAGAAGGAGAGGAGUUAAGGGCCUGCUCGUGAUGUGUGCCUGGCUUCCGGGGGUUUCUGCACAAACCAUGUAAUUAUUAGCCCCUGAAAGUAAACACCCAUCGCUCCACCGGAAAAGGCAGCCUAAAAAGAUGACCUCCUCUAGAAAAUACACGUUUCACGCCUCCUGUGAGGAGCUUCAAGAGCCUCGGCAAGGAAAACAAUCUCCGGGGACGUGGCUGCGGACAGCGGUGCGUCACGGAGGCCAGCGAAGCCCACCACCGGCCAGGGACCCCUCUGGCGGGGAGGAGUGGAGUCGGCCCCUCCCACCGUGUCCUCCAUGACCCCAAAGCGUGACGAAGCCGUAAUGCGCAGGCUCGGAGCUCGCAUGGCGGGGGUUUGGCUCACACACUGAUGGGGAGCUGAGAUCUGCACGGGCGGAAUUCUAGGCCACCACCAUCUCCACGCUGCACAGGGGAUGUCCAGGCAUCAAGAGGUAGCCGAACUUGCCCAAGUCUGAAGAGCUAGAAAGUAGGGAAGUCGUAUUGGAAACAACGCCCGAGACUCUGAGCACAGAAUAUGUCACAGGCUGAAAGGUACACGUGUCACCUGAAGAAAACUGCAGAGGGCACAGAUAACGUGGGGACACAGUGACGAUCCGGGAGGUGGUGACCACAGCACUUGAGCCCGGGAACUUCUGAAUUCAAGUGACCUUCCCAGAGCUGGACCACGCACCGGAAGCCGGGGACGGACCACGCAGCUGGACUAUGGGGCUCUGGGCAGCGAGGCUCCCCGAGUGAGCGUCCCUCCAGGAGCAGGAGGCGGUGCCUCCAGAGCAGGCACCACUCUGAGGAGUGUGCACUCCGUGUUCCACAGCCUGCACUGGCUCCCUAGUGCCCUCACCUCGAGGCCGCCAUCAUUCACCGGCCACCACCACCCUGCCCCGCACGGCCACCAUUGCUCACUUUGUAUUUUCCUUUCAACGGAUUUGCACAUUUCUAACCUAAA